AAAUGAAAUACUAGUGGGAUAUUUAAUAAUAUGGGGUGUUGCAAGGUAUUUCGGCACACUAACUUAUAUUCGGGUAGCGGUCGGCUGCGGGCAUGUUAAGUCAACUAGUUAUUGUUAUAUUUUUAUUUCGGGUUCUGACCUUUUGUAAAUGGCAACACCUUUGAAUAUAGUGAUGGCUUGUAUAUUUGUAAGUUAUGUUGGUUUACAAAUCAGUAUUUUAAUAUUUGUGUGACAUUCCAGAUUUUAUAAACUUAAAUUAAUUUCAUUUGCUGCAUCUUUUCCAUAACUUGAAAUAGCUCUCUUUCUUGUUUCUUAAUAUGCAGUUGCAUGCAUAGAAAAAUUAUAAUUUGCCAAGAAUAAUGUAUUUAAGAAUUAAUGAGAUCUAUGUUGUUUUUUUUUUAUUAGAUUUUUCAUAUUUUCGGUAAUGAACUCAGUUGUAUUUAGAAACGUAACGUCAUUUUAAUUUACGUUUUCUUUUGUGGUCGUGCUUAUAUUAUAUUAUUGAAACUAUGGGGGCUGUCGCGAGUACUGAGGUUAGAUACGUUCCUUGGGGAUAAAAGCAUCUUGUCUCUGUCUCACUGGAGUCGUGGGAAAGAGACAAAACAAAACCCUAUCAGGCAUGCAAGACCUUCGAAUCGUGCGCCCAAAGUAGUAUUUUCGCUUUGAUACUGCACUUUAUUUUAAUUAAGUUUUUUUACUUGUGUUGUAUAAGUUUUACAUCAAAUACAGCGUGAUAUAUAUUUGA